AAGUGGUCAUCAGCAAGUGUGGAGCCACAACAAGAUUCUCAGAGGGCGGAGCCAGAGACCAUAUGGUCAGACCAUAGAUAAUAUAGAAGACAGCACGCUACCGUAUCUACUCUAUGUGUAUCUAUGGUCGGCACGUCUGGUAGCAUCUUUGGCUGCUGUUGAUCUUGUUUUUGGAGUAAAACACGAUGCACAAUGAGGGACGUCUGCAGAGACUGAGAAAGAGUCUCACCACAUCCUGACAUGAGGAAAAAGACUUUAUUGAAGACUACAAUGAGAAAAACUAUCAGACAGCAGACGGCUGCAUUCAAGUCUGUAGCUGCUGAAUUCAUGGAUGAAUCAUCUGGCACUAGAGAAGAAGACCAUCAAACAUCUACGUCAGCUGAUGGAGGUCCAAGAGUCUCACCAAACAACCAACCUACAGAGUGAAGACCUCUAACCUGAUUGGACGGCCUCCUAUUCAGCCACAUGUGUGAACAAAUGCCUCUAAGCUGAUUUGUUUUCUAAAAUAAAUCUAGUUUGAGUCCUAAUCUAUGCCUGUGUUUGCUUCUUUACACCGCUGUUAACAGUUUAGGCUGUUAGAUUGUUCCAGAUAAGACAAGUACAAGAUUCUUCAGAGCC
ensembl:lncRNA